rnacentral:sRNA from 1 species
GUCUCAUUUUCCCCUGAGCUCCAUCAGCAAGAGUAGCAAUAGCAGCUGGAGAAGCGGCAGCCAGAGAUAGGCAGGGCUGGUGCUUGCAGCCGCGCAAAUCGCCUCCUCCUCAACACACACACAACACACACACUGCACAGACUUCCAAUAUCAACGCGUCUUGACAUAAAUCGAGGACUAAGAGAGACUAAAGAAGAGCGUUAGUCAUGGACAACAGUUCUUUAACACAUUAUUGAAAUUACAAGCAUCCAAAGCAGUUUCAUGUGGACAGAUUGCAUAUUUUGAAAGCCUGAGGUAUUUUAUCAUGAAACAUGCCAUGUGGAAUCUUUGAAGCAUAGACCUCUGCGCAACACCUGAAUAAAGAAUCUUUUACCUGGUAUGUGACAGAGCUUCUCACCACCACCAUGACAAACCAGGAAAAAUGGGCCCACCUCAGCCCUUCGGAAUUCUCCCAACUUCAGAAAUAUGCUGAGUAUUCUACAAAGAAAUUAAAGGAUGUUCUUGAAGAAUUCCAUGACAAUAGAUUUUGAAGGUUUC